rnacentral:rRNA from 1 species
GACGAACGCUGGCGGUAUGCUUAACACAUGCAAGUCGAACGAGAAGUUUUUUAUUGAACCUUCGGGGGAUAUAAGAGACAGACAGUGGCGAACGGGUGAGUAACGCGUGGGCAACCUACUAUCGGAGCGGGAUAGCCUCGAGAAAUCGGGAGUAAAACCGCAUAACAGGAUAUAUCGCAUGAUGAAUCGUCAAAACUCCGGUGCCGAUAGAUGGGCCCGCGUCUGAUUAGCUAGUGGUAGGUAAGGGCUUACCAAGGCAACGAUCAGUAGCCGGUCUGAGAGGGCGAACGGCCACACUGGAACUGAGACACGGUCCAGACUCCUACGGGAGGCAGCAGUGGGGAAUAUGCGCAAUGGGGGCAACCCUGACGGAGCAAUACCGCGUGAGUGAAGAAGGUUUUCGGAUCGUAAAGCUCUGUUAUUGGGAA